UACGUAGGGUGCGAGCGUUGUCCGGAAUUAUUGGGCGUAAAGAGCUCGUAGGCGGUGUGUCACGUCGGCCGUGAAAACCUGCAGCUUAACUGUGGGCGUGCGGUCGAUACGGGCAUCACUGGAGUUCGGCAGGGGAGACUGGAAUUCCUGGUGUAGCGGUGGAAUGCGCAGAUAUCAGGAGGAACACCGGUGGCGAAGGCGCUGCUCUGGGCCGGUACUGACGCUGAGGAGCGAAAGCGUGGGUAGCAAACAGG
rnacentral:rRNA from 1 species